GCAUAACGCGAAGAACCUUACCAGGUCUUGACAUCCCUCUGACGGAUCCUUAACCGGAUCUUCUCUUCGGAGCAGAGGUGACAGGUGGUGCAUGGUUGUCGUCAGCUCGUGUCGUGAGAUGUUGGGUUAAGUCCCGCAACGAGCGCAACCCUUAUCUUUAGUAGCCAGCAGUUCGGCUGGGCACUCUAGAGAGACUGCCAGGGAUAACCUGGAGGAAGGUGGGGAUGACGUCAAAUCAUCAUGCCCCUUAUGAUCUGGGCUACACACGUGCUACAAUGGUGAUAACAAAGUGAAGCAGCCUCGUGAGAGUGAGCAAAUCACAAAAAGUCAUCUCAGUUCGGAUUGUAGUCUGCAACUCGACUACAUGAAGCUGGAAUCGCUAGUAAUCGCGAAUCAGAAUGUCGCGGUGAAUACGUUCCCGGGUCUUGUACACACCGAGGUCGGUGGGGGA
rnacentral:rRNA from 1 species